CCUACUGGAGACAUCAUGGAGGCAUCUUGGUCAAUGGACGAGAGUCUGAACCAUCCAAGUAGCUCCCCGUCUUCCUUCCCUCUUUUUUUUCCCCUUCUUUUCUCUUUUCCUAAAACAGGGUAUGCAUACCCUCUUGUAUGUACCAUAUGAAUAAGGAUCGGCUAACUCCGUGCCAGCAGCCGCGGUAAUACGGAGGAUCCGAGCGUUAUCCGGAUUUAUUGGGUUUAAAGGGAGCGUAGGUGGAUUGUUAAGUCAGUUGUGAAAGUUUGCGGCUCAACCGUAAAAUUGCAGUUGAAACUGGCAGUCUUGAGUACAGUAGAGGUGGGCGGAAUUCGUGGUGUAGCGGUGAAAUGCUUAGAUAUCACGAAGAACUCCGAUUGCGAAGGCAGCUCACUGGACUGCAACUGACACUGAUGCUCGAAAGUGUGGGUAUCAAACAGGAUUAGAUAACACAGUAGUC
rnacentral:rRNA from 1 species